rnacentral:rRNA from 1 species
UACGGGGGGGGCAAGCGUUGUUCGGAAUUACUGGGCGUAAAGGGCUCGUAGGCGGCCAACUAAGUCAGACGUGAAAUCCCUCGGCUUAACCGGGGAACGGCGUCUGAUACUGGAUGGCUUGAAUCCGGGAGAGGGAUGCGGAAUUCCAGGUGUAGCGGUGAAAUGCGUAGAUAUCUGGAGGAACACCGGUGGCGAAGGCGGCUAUCUGGACCGACAUUGACGCUGAGGCGCGAAAGCGUGGGGAGCAAACAGG